UUUGUACUCGAAUGAUAGCUACCUUUGGAUUGGAAAAGCGAUGUGCAUACCGGAAUUGGUCAGGGCCGUGCUAUCAUUGGCGUUCGGUGUUGGUGAAUAAGUACAUACCUCAGAAAUUAUGUUGUAAUGGUUGGAGGACCAGUACACACCAAAACUGUGAUAGAGCAAUUUGCCUGCCUGAAUGCAAAAAUGGAGGAAAAUGUACUUCGCCCGGUAUUUGUUCAUGUGUUGAAGGUUGGAAAGGGGACCGGUGUGAAAUAUAAGGAUAUUGUUGAAGGAUCAAAGCAAACAAAAGAACACUUAGACAUGAUGCAAUCGCUUAAAAAGGAUUUAACAAAUAAAAUCAACAAUUGAUUGAAAUGUAAUAAUAAACAUUGCAUUUGAAAUUGU